rnacentral:rRNA from 1 species
UGGGGAAUAUUGGACAAUGGGGGAAACCCUGAUCCAGCAAUGCCGCGUGAGUGAUGAAGGCCUUCGGGUUGUAAAGCUCUUUUGUCAGGGACGAUGAUGACGGUACCUGACGAAUAAGCUCCGGCUAACUUCGUGCCAGCAGCCGCGGUAAUACGAAGGGAGCUAGCGUUGUUCGGAAUUACUGGGCGUAAAGGGCGUGUAGGCGGUACCAUAAGUCAGAUGUGAAAGCCCUGGGCUUAACCUAGGAUGUGCAUUUGAUACUGUGGAACUAGAGAUCGGGAGAGGAAAGUGGAAUUACGAGUGUAGAGGUGAAAUUCGUAGAUAUUCGUAAGAACACCAGUGGCGAAGGCGACUUUCUGGCCCGAUACUGACGCUAAGGCGCGAAAGCGUGGGGAGCAAA